rnacentral:sRNA from 1 species
UCUCCCGCGCCGCAGACGCAGCGCUGCUCUCAUCCCUGUGACGAGCACAGGGAUGAGGGUGGAG